ACUCCUACGGGAGGCAGCAGUGGGAAUCUUGGACAAUGGGGCAACCCGUAGCAUCCAGCCAUGCCGCGUGAGUGAUGAAGGCCUUAGGGUCGUAAAGCUCUUUCGCCUGUGAAGAUAAUGACGGUAGCAGGUAAAGAAACCCCGCGUACAUCCGUGCCAGCAGCCGCGGUAAUACGGAGGGGGUUAGCGUUGUUCGGAAUUACUGGGCGUAAAGCGCACGUAGGCGGAUCGGAAAGUUGGGG
rnacentral:rRNA from 1 species